rnacentral:ncRNA from 1 species
ACAAAUGCAAUGAUAAGGAAAGUAAUUCAACAUCAUUUUCUUCCAGAGAGCUUCGGGAGCUGAAAAGAAGCAGAAAAUCGUUGAGUGAAAAUGGCCUUUGAGCUGCGGCAUCGACUUCCCAUUAGGAAUAGAUGUUGACGAGAUUUGACACUCGUUACAAAUAUCAAAGUAUAGGGAGUCCCUUCUCUCCGUACUUAGUGAGGCUGAUCAUGUGAGUGAUCGGCGAAUCAAGGUGGUAACACGAGAUAACCCUCGUCCUUAGG